rnacentral:rRNA from 1 species
UAACGGAUCUUGGGCAAUGGGCGAAAGCCUGACCCAGCGACGCCGCGUGCGGGAGGAAGUCCUUCGGGAUGUAAACCGCUGUCAGGGGUAAGAAAGUCCGUUUCGGCGGAUUGAUCUAACCCAGAGGAAGUCACGGCUAACUCUGUGACAGCAGCCGCGGUAAGACAGAGGUGGCUAGCGUUGUUCGGUAUCACUGGGCUUAAAGCGGGGGUAGGCGGAAGCGUAAGCAUUUUGUGAAAGCCCUCGGCUUAACCGGGGAAUUGCUUGAUGUACUGCGUUUCUUGAGGCAGGUAGGGGUGCGAGGAACUCUUGGUGGAGCGGUGGAAUGCGUAGAUAUCAAGAGGAACGCCGGUGGUGAAGACGUCGCACUAGGCCUGUCCUGACGCUGAGACACGAAAGCGUGGGGAGCGAACG